CUCAGAUAUUUCACAUCAGGAUGUGGUUUUGAAGAUAUUUCACUAUUCUCAUUUGCUGCUACGCCAACAGAUGAAGGCUUUUUUUGAGCACAUAUUGGGCUCUUGAACAGCUACUAAGCCAUUAAGCUUCUGUUCCUUGAUAUCCACUAUAUGAUUAUUAGCUAACCCCUGCUUCUCAGAUGACUGAAUAGCAGUUUGGCAUUUUUCCAACCU
rnacentral:misc_RNA from 1 species